rnacentral:rRNA from 1 species
CCCUUAGAUGUUCUGGGCUGCACGCGCGCUACACUGAAGCUAUCAACACGUUUUCCCUCCCUGAGAAGGGCGGGUAACCUUUUGAAUCAGCUUCGUGGUAGGGAUCGGGGCUUGCAAUUGUUCCCCGUGAACCAGGAAUUCCUAGUAGACGCGAGUCAUAAGCUCGCAUCGAUUAAGUCCCUGCCCGUUGUACACACCGCCCGUCGCUACUACCGAUUGAACGUUUUAGUGAGGCAUUUGGACCGACGCAUCUCAGUUUAACCGCUGGUUUGUGUUGGAAAGACUUCCAAACUUGAGCGUUUAGAGGAAGUAAAAGUCGUAACA